rnacentral:rRNA from 1 species
GACGAACGCUGGCGGCGUGCUUAACACAUGCAAGUCGAACGGAAAGGCCCUGCUUUUGUGGGGUGCUCGAGUGGCGAACGGGUGAGUAACACGUGAGUAACCUGCCCUUGACUUUGGGAUAACUUCAGGAAACUGGGGCUAAUACCGGAUAGGAGCUCCUGCUGCAUGGUGGGGGUUGGAAAGUUUCGGCGGUUGGGGAUGGACUAGCGGCUUAUCAGCUUGUUGGUGGGGUAGUGGCUUACCAAGGCUUUGACGGGUAGCCGGGCUGUGCGGGUGACCGGCCACAUUGGGACUGAGAUACGGCCCAGACUCCUACGGGAGGCAACAGUGGGGAAUAUUGCACAAUGGGCGGAACCCUGAUGCAGCAACGCCGCGUGCGGGAUGACGGCCUUCGGGUUGUAAACCGCUUUCGCCUGUGACGAAGCGUGAGUGACGGUAAUGGGUAAAGAAGCACCGGCUAACUACGUG